GAUGAACGCUGGCGGCGUGCCUAAUACAUGCAAGUCGAGCGAACAGAUAAGGAGCUUGCUCCUUUGACGUUAGCGGCGGACGGGUGAGUAACACGUGGAUAACCUACCUAUAAGACUGGGAUAACUUCGGGAAACCGGAGCUAAUACCGGAUAACAUAUUGAACCGCAUGGUUCAAUAGUGAAAGGCGGCUUUGCUGUCACUUAUAGAUGGAUCCGCGCCGUAUUAGCUAGUUGGUAAGGUAACGGCUUACCAAGGCAACGAUACGUAGCCGACCUGAGAGGGUGAUCGGCCACACUGGAACUGAGACAGGGUCCAGACUCCUACGAGAGGCAGCAGUAGGGAAUCUUCCGCAAUGGGCGAAAGCCUGACGGAGCAACGCCGCGUGAGUUAUGAAGGUCUUCGGAUCGUAAAACUCUGUUAUCAGGGAAGAACAAAUGUGUAAGUAACUGUGCACAUCUUGACGGUACCUGAUCAGAAAGCCACGGCUAACUACGUG
rnacentral:rRNA from 1 species